rnacentral:rRNA from 1 species
GAUGAACGCUGGCGGCGUGCCUAAUACAUGCAAGUCGAACGAGGAACUUUAAUCUUCGGAUGGAAGUUUCCUAGUGGCGAACGGGUGAGUAACGCGUUGGUGACCUGCCCCAAAGUGGGGGAUAACAGUUCGAAAGGACUGCUAAUACCGCAUAAGAUCAAUGGGAUUAGAUGCCUGUUGAUUAAAGGCGAAAGUCGCUUUGGGAGGGGCCUGCGUCCCAUCAGCUUGUUGGUAGGGUAAUGGCCUACCAAGGCUAAGACGGGUAGGGGACCUGAGAGGGUGGCCCCCCACACUGGCACUGAAACAUGGGCCAGACACCUACGGGUGGCAGCAGUAGGGAAUAUUGGACAAUGGGCGAAAGCCUGAUCCAGCAACGCCGCGUGCGCGAUGAAGGCCUUCGGUUGUAAAGCGCUUUUAGGGAGAUGAGAAGGACAGUAUCCUCUGAAUAAGCCUCGGCGAACUACGUG